rnacentral:rRNA from 1 species
AUUGAACGCUGGCGGCAGGCCUAACACAUGCAAGUCGAGCGAGAGGCGGACGGGUGAGUAAUGUCUGGGAAACUGCCCGAUGGAGGGGGAUAACUACUGGAAACGGUAGCUAAUACAGCAUACCACCAGAUGUGUCCAGAUGGGAUUAGCUAGUGGGUGGGGUAACGGCUCACCCAGGCGACGAUCCCCAGCUGGGCUGAGAGGAUGACCCGCCACACUGGAACUGAGACACGGUCCAGACUCCGACGGGAGGCAGCAGUGGGGAAUAUUGCACAAUGGGCGAAAGCCUGAUGCAGCCAUGCCGCGUGUGUGAAGAAGGCCUUCGGGUUGUAAAGCACUUUCAGCGGGGAGGCGUUACCCGCAGAAGAAGCACCGGCUAACUCCGUGCCAGCAGCCGCGGUAAUUC